GGUAGAUAUUCGGGAGGAACAGCCGGGGGCGGAGGGCGGCUUUUCUGGACCCAGUACUGGACGGUGGAGAUGCGAAAAGCGGUGGGGGAGCGAACGGGGAUUGGGAUACCCUGGUAGUCCAGGCCGUAAACGAUGGGUAGUAGGUGUUGCGGGUAACCAGUCCUGCAGUGCCGCAGCUGACGCAUUAAGUACCCCGCCUGAGGAGUACGGCCGCAAGGCUAAAACUCAAAGGAAUUGACGAGGGCCCGCACAAGCGGUGGAGCAUGUGGUUUAAUUCGACGCAACGCGAAGAACCUUGCCUGGGUUUGACAUCCCGAUCAUACAUUAUGGAAACAUAGUGGUCAGUUCGGCUGGAUCGGUGACAGGUGCUGCAUGGCUGUCGUCAGCUCGUGUCGUGAGAUGUUGGGUUAAGUCCCGCAACGAGCGCAACCCUUGUCCUUAGUUGCCAUCAUUUAGUUGGGCACUCUAGGGAGACUGCCGGUGUUAAGCCGGAGGAAGGUGGGGAUGACGUCAAGUCCUCAUGGCCCUUAUAUCCAGGGCUACACACGUGCUACAAUGGCCGGUACAAAGGGCAGCGAUACCGCGAGGUGGAGCUAAUCCCAAAAAGCCGAUCUCAGUUCGGAUUGGAGUCUGCAACUCGACUCCAUGAAGUUGGAAUCGCUAGUAAUCGCUUAUCAGCAAGACGCGGUGAAUACGUUCCCGGGCCUGUACACCCCCCGUCACACCAC
rnacentral:rRNA from 1 species